AUACGUAGGGGGCGAGCGUUGUCCGGAAUGAUUGGGCGUAAAGGGCGCGUAGGCGGCCCGGUAAGUCUGGAGUGAAAGUCCUGUUUUUAAGAUGGGAAUUGCUUUGGAUACUGUCGGGCUUGAGUGCAGGAGAGGUAAGUGGAAUUCCCAGUGUAGCGGUGAAAUGCGUAGAGAUUGGGAGGAACACCAGUGGCGAAGGCGACUUACUGGACUGUAACUGACGCUGAGGCGCGAAAGUGUGGGGAGCAAACAGGAUUAGAUACCCUGGUAGUCCACACUGUAAACGAUGAAUGCUAGGUGUAGGGGGUAUCGACCCCUUUUGUGCCGGAGUCAACACAAUAAGCAUUCCGCCUGGGGAGUACGGCCGCAAGGUUGAAACUCAAAGGAAUUGACGGGG
rnacentral:rRNA from 1 species